AUAGGGGAGGGUCCAAUGGUGGGGGGGGUCUCAUUGUCCCCAUGGGGGGGUCCCUGUUCCCCCCCCCCCAGGUGGAGUUCCAUCUGUGUAUCCGUGUGGGGGGCACCGUCAGUUCCUGCAGCCAUGGCCAGGAGAGCGCAUGGGUCCUGGAUGGGCUGCGGCUGCGGGUUCAGAGCCGACACUUCAUGCGGUUCCCGGCAGCUGGUUCUGACCCAUUUGGAGCCAACAUUGAGCUGCAGCCGAUCCCUGUUGGGCCGGGCAGUGAAGGAGCUGCUGCACCCACUGCUGGAUGGGGUGACAAGGAGGAAUAGGGUGACCCCAUAGGGACACAUAGAGACCCAUAGAUACCCCAUAGGGACCCAUAGAGACCCAUUGAGACCCCAUUGAGAGCCAUUGAGACCCCAUAGGGACACACAGGGACCUGCUGCACCCGCUGCUGGAUGGGGUGACAAGGAGGAAUAGGGUGACCCCAUAGAGACCCCAUAGAGAUCCACUGAGACCCAUAGAUACCCAUAGAGACCCAUAGAGACCCAUAGAGACCCAUAGAGACCCAUAGAGAUCCAUAGGAGCCCAUAGAGACCCAUAGAGACCCCAUAGAGACNCCCAUAGAGACCCAUAGAGACCCAUAGAGAUCCAUAGGAGCCCAUAGAGACCCAUAGAGACCCCAUAGAGACACAUAGACCUCAUAGAGACCCACUGAGAUCCAUUGAGACCCAUUGAGACCCAUAGAGACCCAUAGAUACCCAUAGAGACCCAUUGAGAUCCAUUGAGACCCCAUAGAGACCCAUAGAGACCCCAUAGAGACCCCAUUGAGACCCAUUGAGACCCCAUAGAGACCCAUAGAGACCCAUAGGGAUCCAUAGGAGCCCAUAGGGACACACAGGGACCUGCUGCACCCACUGCUGGAUGGGGUGACAAGGAGGAAUAGGGUGACCCCAUAGAGACCCCAUAGAGACCCAUAGAGACCCAUUGGGAUCCAUAGAGACCCAUUGAGACCCAUUGAGACCCCAUUGAGAUCCAUAGAGAGCCAUUGAGAGCCCAUAGGGACACACAGGGACCUGCUGCACCCGCUGCUGGAUGGGGUGACAAGGAGGAAUAGGGUGACCCCAUAGAGACCCCAUAGUACCCCAUAAAUACCCCAUAGGGACCCAUAGGGACCCCAUAGGGAUCCAUUGAGAUCCAUAGAGACCCAUAGGGAUCCAUAGAGACCCAUAGAGAUCCCAUAGAGACCCAUUGAGAGCCAUUGAGACCCCAUAGGGACACACAGGGACCUGCUGCACCCACUGCUGGAUGGGGUGACAAGGAGGAAUAGGGUGACCCCAUA
rnacentral:lncRNA from 1 species